UCAUCGGCGCUCUCUAAUUCGCUUGGUGCAGGUCGGGAACUGUUUCGCUUUUUGUUCAUCAUGAUCUCUUGAUUGUUGUUCUCUCUUUCAAUUUCCUCUGCGUUGUUCAGGGGAAAUAUAUAUAUAUGUGUGUGUGUGUGUAAUCGAGCGAAUUGGAUCCCGCCUUGCAUCAACUGAAUCCGAGACAGCGAUGAAG
rnacentral:pre_miRNA from 2 species